CAGGAAGGAAGUGCCAGGAGAGGAGAGCUGAGCCAAGCGGAGGCAUGCCAGGGUACAGACAUAGAAACCACCAGCAUGAGAGCGUGUGAAACAGGAUUCGUUUUGUGGAAAAGGAGAGAGCGGGAGUAAGGACAGCAAACAAAUAACUGAUGCCAAAAGGAGCAACUAUCACAGCGGGAGGGAUGGAAAGGAAACUUGAUCCAUUUACCAUGAGAGGAGAGAAGUUCUGGAACAGCCUUCCCAGGGGAGCCGGGGGAGCAAAAAACCUAGCUGGCUUCAAGACUGAGCCUGGCUGGCUCCUCACAAGCCCCCCGUAACAGACUUCAUGCCGAAUCCCAGAGACGUGCUUGUCUGCCUCAUGGCUGCUCUCAGAGGAAACGUUUGGCAUCUGGUUAGCCUCUGCAGCCAGACACUAUCCCAGAGGUACUGGCUGGCUCUCAGAACGCACUUCGUGCAACACCAGCUGAAGGAUGAAAGAAAAUGGCAAUAGGAGAGCCUGAGAAUGGACCAGACUCCAGGAUCCCUAUCCCCCCGUGCCAGGAUGAGAGCAGUCAGUGGCAAUCACUGGACCCUGCAGCAAAAGCUUUGGACUCCCUAUGUUUCUCCCAUGAGCAGUGCAGGGAACUUUGCUUGAUUUGUCUUAGGCAUGGUGUUGUGUUCGUCAGUUGUGUAAUAUUUUAAAUACGAGAUAAACUGACGCCGUUUGUUUAUCUACACCACAGGGUCAGUGGGCCAGAUCCUCAGCUGAUGUAAAUUGAGUUCCAUGGCACC